GAUGAACGCUGGCGGCGUGCCUAAUACAUGCCAGUCGAGCGAACAGAUGAGGAGCUUGCUCCUCUGACGUUAGCGGCGGACGGGUGAGUAACACGUGUAUAACCUACCUAUAAGACUGGGAUAACUUCGGGAAACCGGAGCUAAUACCGGAUAAUAUAUUGAACCGCAUGGUUCAAUAGUGAAAGACGGUUUUGCUGUCACUUAUAGAUGGAUCCGCGCCGCAUUAGCUAGUUGGUAAGGUAACGGCUUACCAAGGCAACGAUGCGUAGCCGACCUGAGAGGGUGAUCGGCCACACUGGAACUGAGACACGGUCCAGACUCCUACGGGAGGCAGCAGUAGGGAAUCUUCCGCAAUGGGCGAAAGCCUGACGGAGCAACGCCGCGUGAGUGAUGAAGGUCUUCGGAUCGUAAAACUCUGUUAUUAGGGAAGAACAAAUGUGUAAGUAACUAUGCACGUCUUGACGGUACCUAAUCAGAAAGCCACGGCUAACUACGUG
rnacentral:rRNA from 1 species